AACGAACGCUGGCGGCAGGCUUAACACAUGCAAGUCGAACGCUCCGCAAGGGGAGUGGCAGACGGGUGAGUAACGCGUGGGAAUCUACCCAGUUCUACGGAACAACUGAGGGAAACUUCAGCUAAUACCGUAUACGCCCUACGGGGGAAAGAUUUAUCGGAAUUGGAUGAGCCCGCGUUAGAUUAGCUAGUUGGUGGGGUAAUGGCCUACCAAGGCGACGAUCUAUAGCUGGUCUGAGAGGAUGAUCAGCCACACUGGGACUGAGACACGGCCCAGACUCCUACGGGAGGCAGCAGUGGGGAAUAUUGGACAAUGGGCGCAAGCCUGAUCCAGCCAUGCCGCGUGAGUGAUGAAGGCCUUAGGGUUGUAAAGCUCUUUCAGUGGGGACGAUAAUGACGGUACCCACAGAAGAAGCCCCGGCUAACUUCGUGCCAGCAGCCGCAGUAAAAC
rnacentral:rRNA from 1 species